AUCAAAACUCCGAUGGUGGAUCAGGUAAUUCAGUUGCUCUUCUGUUUUGUCUGGGAAAAUUCAAUAAUCAAUUCCUCUCUCUUUUCUGUCUUUUGCAUAAUCUGGGUUGCAGAUGCUCAGCAACAAAACCUUUCUGGAAGGGGUGAUAAAUCGAGCUCCACUUCGCCGUGUGGGAGAUCCGAAGGAGGUGUCAUCUUUGGUGGCAUUCCUCUGUCUACCAGCAUCAUCUUACAUUACUGGACAGACUAUUUGUGUCGAUGGUGGCGUGACUGUUAAUGGUUUUGAGCCAAACCUGUUAUAGGAACAUCAUUAAGACUCAAAAAUCUUAGCUUCCUCUACCGCUUUCCUGUUUGGAUCCUGUCUUUUUCCUGAAUAAUCUGUUUGUGAUGGUAAGUACUCUUCUGUUUUUUCGGUGUGGGGUUCAUCUGAAAACAUUGUUGCAUGAUGCUUAUAAUAAUCGUUGGAAAGUUUGUAAGAAGUUACUUAUCAUUGGAUGAGAUUCUUGUGAUGAGUGUUUCCUAUAAUCAGAUUUAUCUUGUUAUAAGGUUGUUGUUGUAGUAGUAACUGCAAUUCAAAGGAAAUUAAUUUAGUAUAAUACUGUAGGUUGUUGUCUAGUGUCUACUACCUCAGCUUCUCAUCCCACCCAACUCUCCCUCUUUAACUACCUAAUAUGAAAUUAAAAUAUGAAUUUAACAACCUGUCCGUCUUGUCCACCGUUUCUUUGGCUCUUCAGUCUUCAGACUUCGGCCUUUUAAAGCAGGACCUAAAAGGUUUGGGCCCAAAUGUUGGAAAAACUUAACACAGGCUGCAAUUUUGGGCCCCAAAACUCUUUCCAACUGGGCCUGAACACUUUUAGGCCCAAGAUGCUUUAGAUUUUGGACUCGCAGACCAUGUAUAUGCCCUCAACACCACCAUGCUUUACUUCAUCCCUUCCUUUCAAAUUAAAAGGAAAUUCAAAUUUCAUGAUGUUACAACUUGCUCAUUGAUGUACAUUCCCAUUCACAAAAAAUAAAAUAUUAAAUGCACUUAUCCAAAAUAUCUUCAUACCUACCUAUUUUUAUUUUUAAAAUAAAAUUUAAACGUUGAAUAACAAAAAUACCAUUUUUGUCAUCCUUACCCUUCACCCUUCCGAAACCCUAAUCUAAUCUUCCCUUUCUCUCUUCUUUCAUUUUCCAUCUUCUUAAAUGGGAAAAUAACGAUCAUCAGAGCCCACCGUGACUUGUGACAGGUUCGAUCCCUUAACAAUGACGAGGCCAUUAUGGAUAAUAUAAGGAUAAGCAUUACAAUAUUUCACUCCUUCACGUGCAUCUCCCUUCACACAAAGAUGCUUCCUUCACUCAUUUUAUAUUAAUAAUAUGAUAAAUUAUACAAAAAAAAAACAAUUUUUUUUUUAUCAAAAUUGUUUUCAACAAUAUUUCAAAUAUAUAUAUAUAUAUAUAUAUAUAUAUAAAUUUGGAAAACUUGUAUUUUGGAGCUGCUAUUUAGAAAUUAUAUAGUUUUCGGAACCCAAAAAUGAGAAAUAUGAUAAUCAAAUUUUAAUAUGAAAAGUAUUAUCGUUUUUGUGCACUUUGAGUAGACUUCAUCUUUUGUGCCCAAAUGGCCCCUCCAUGUCUCCAGCUCAGCAUUCUUAGCAUCAUCCCAACCUUUGUGUCAGUAGAACCAUUGAAAUUAAGAAAAAAAAAAACACAAAAAUCUAAAUUUGUAACUUCUCAAAAAAAAAAAAAAAAAAACCCAAUCUGCAAGUUUUCAAUUUGCUCAUUUGGAAAACAUUUUUUUUUAUAAAUAUCAAUAUUAUUUUUAAAAAAUGGUGACUUUUAGCUUUUAAUUAAAACUAAGAACAAGAAGUUAUUCCAAAUAUGACUUAUGUAUUUAUUCAGUGAAAGUAAUUUUUUCAUUUAAAAAAAGUAAUUUCUUGGUGAUAAAAAGAAAUAUUUUUUUAGUAGCUUUUCGAUGCUAUAAAAAAAGUGUUGGCUAAGUUUGUAUGAUAAAAUUGGUGUUAUUUAUAUACCAGCACUUUCGCUAGGGUCUUAUUUAUUGGGAAAACUGAUUAAUAAACUAAUCUUCUGUUUUGUUUUCAGUUCAAAGAGUGGUAGAGUAGAGGAGGAGGCAUGGCUCAGACAUUUGGGUGCAGCUCUGGAGAUAGUAGAUGGUCUCUCAAGGGAAUGACUGCUCUUGUAACUGGUGGAACUAAAGGAAUUGGGUUGGUGUUACCUGUUUUUAUGUCUUUGGGUUUGGACUAUACCUUCCUAUAUAUAAACGUAUGUAUCAAUUCUGCAGGCAUGCAAUUGUGGAGGAACUGGCUGGAUUAGGAGCAACCAUACACACGUGUUCUCGAAAAGAAACCGAGCUCAAUGAAUGCUUGAAGGAUUGGAAAGCUAAAGGUUUUGGAGUGAGUGGUUCAGUGUGUGAUGUAUCCUCUCGGGCCCAAAGGGAGAAGCUAAUGGAGACUGUCUCUUCUGUGUUCAAAGGGAAGCUGAAUAUCCUUGUAAGUUCCUCUAGUCUCUAAGGUUCCGAUCCAUGAUAUUCCACAUACUUUGUCGAACUUCCAACAAUUUGAGUUCCCCUACUUGAUAUAUAUAUUUUGGUUCCGGAUUCAGGUCAACAACGCUGCUAUUGUUAUUCAGAAACCAACAGUAGAGGUCACGGCAGAAGAGUUCUCAACAAUCAUGGCCAUAAAUUUUGAAUCUGUGUAUCAUCUGUCCCAACUCGCACACCCCCUUUUAAAGGCAUCAGGAGCGGGAAGCAUUGUAUUCAUCUCCUCUGUUGCCGGCGUAGUGUCAAUCAAGUAUCUGUCUGCUUAUUCAGUAACCAAAGGUAUUUCAUUACAUGAUCCACAUUAUAUAUAUAUAUAUAUAUUGCAAGUUCUUGGGUUGUGGCCCUUGUGGCCUUCUCGGCGUGUCAUUAUCAUUAUCAUAUUGUGAUUUUUCAGGAGCAAUGAAUCAGCUUACAAAGAAUUUGGCAUGCGAGUGGGCGGAAGACAAUAUUAGAAGUAAUGCAGUUGCUCCUUGGUACAUCAAAACUCCGAUGGUGGAUCAGGUAAUUCAGUUGCUCUUCUGUUUUGUCUGGGAAAAUUCAAUAAUCAAUUCCUCUCUCUUUUCUGUCUUUUGCAUAAUCUGGGUUGCAGAUGUUCAGUAACAAAACCUUUCUGGAAGAGGUGAUAAAUCGAGCUCCACUUCGCCGUGUGGGAGAUCCGAAGGAGGUGUCAUCUUUGGUGGCAUUCCUCUGUCUACCAGCAUCGUCUUACAUUACUGGACAGACUAUUUGUGUCGAUGGUGGCGUGACUGUUAAUGGUUUUGAGCCAAACCUGUUCUAGGAACAUCAUUAAGACUCUCAAAAAUCUUAGCUUCCUCUACCGCUUUCCUGUUUGGAUCCUGUCUUUUUCCUGAAUAAUCUGUUUGUGGUGGUAAGUACUCUUCUGUUUUUUCGGUGUGGGGUUCAUUUGAAAACAUUGUUGCAUGAUGCUUAUAAUAAUCGUUGGAAAGUUUGUAAGAAGUUACUUAUCAUUGGAUGAGAUUCUUGUGAUGGGUGUUUCCUAUAAUCAGAUUUAUCUUGUUAUUGUAGUAAUAGGAUUGAAAGAAAAAUGCAAAUAAUCAUAAAAGGAUGAUGAAAAUCGGGAAGAGUUCAUCAUUUUUACUUAUUCAAAUAUUACACCAUCUCUUAUUUACAAUAAAUUUCAAAGAGUGUAAGUGAAACCAACCUUAAAUUAAUUUUGUUUGAUAAAUUUAGAUGAAAUUCAACAAGUGUGAAUCUUUAAUUUUUUUUCAUUUCAAUUAAUUUGGUAUCUAUUAUGAGGUUGCCCAUCAAGCUAAAAAUGACCAAAUAUGAUAUAAGCAUGAAGUCUUUGUUAUAUCUCGGAGAUUAAGAAUUGAUUCCAAUACUUUAUAACUUCCUCUUUUUACUUUAUAUAUCCAUGAAUUUAAGAUAGGUCCCUCACAUGUUUAGCUUCUCCCCUUGACGUACGUAGUGUCAUAUGGACAAUAAUUAAUGCUUGUUCAGCUAAGGUCAAAUAUAUGAAAACAAAUAAGAUUCAUUCACGUAAAACAUACAUGUAGCAAAGAGACGAAGGAAAGUGGGUUCUGUGAUCUAUCACACAUCAUGGAAAAAGCUGUGGUACCAUGGCUUUUCCAGGACUUUUCCUUGCAUAAUGGUACUGACAACAGUAUGCUAUUCUGUUGUUACUCUUAAGAUAUUUUAAUAUAAAGUAGCGCGUAUGUACUAUAUACAAUUCAGUGACGCCAUCUAACACGUUAGCCAAUAAGGUUACAAAUUUUAAUUUUAUAUUAAUAAUAUGAUUUGGGUAUGCUCCAUAUUUUAAAAUAUAAUUGAAUCAUAAAUAUCUAGAACUAGAAAUCCUUUUGAGGGACCAAUAACAUAAAUCAUUAAAAUUUUAUAAUUUGAUAUUAUAAAUUCCUAAUUAAAUUUUAAAAUAUAUUAAAUUUAUUUGAUAUAAAUAUAUAUAAAAAUAAAGAAAAAAAUUAAUAUUUUCAUAUGAUAAAUUAUACAAAAAAAAACAAAUAUAUUUUUUUUUAUCAAAGUUGUUUUCAACAAUAUUUCAAAAAUAUAUAUAUAAAUUUGGGAAACUUGUAUUUUGGAGCUGCUAUUUAGAAAUGAUAUGGUUUUCAGAACCCAAAAAUGGGAAAUAUGAUAAUCAAUUUUUAAUAUGAAAAGUAUUAUCGUUUUUGUGCAUUCUGAGUCGGCUUCAUCUUUUGUGCCCAAAUUGCCCCUCCAUGUCUCCAGCUCAGCAUUCUCAACAUCAUCCCAACCUCCAUGUCAGUAGGACCAUUGAAAUUAAGAAAAAAAAAAACACUAAAAUCUAAAUUUGUAACUUCUCAAAAAAAAAAAAACCCAAUAUGCAAGUUUUCAAUUUGCUCAUUUGGAAGCUUUUUCUCAUCUUUUUCUCUCAUUUUAGUUUAGAAACUCAAAUCCAAAACUCUAAAUGUGAUAUGUUGUGGAAUUGUUUUCAUAGUCCUUAACAAGAUGCAUGCGGCAUGUACUGAACUUUAACCUAAUUCCUUCUACCAAUUUUUCUGGCCCCAAGUUACUAGGGACUAUGGCUCCGAUUGGGUGGUUUUUGAGUAGUCAAAAACCAUUUUUAAAGCUUAGUAAAAAAUUUUAUGCCCCUCAUUUUAUUUAAACAAUUUAUAACUUAAAAAAAUAAGAAAAUAAAAAAAAAUGUUUUUUUAAGCUUUAUUUUGACUUAUUCAAAAAGUUUUUUUAUUUUUUUUAUUUUUAUGUUUAAUACAUUUUUUAUAAUUUCAAUAUUAUUUUUAAAAAAUAGUGACUUUUAGCUUUUAAUUAAAACUAAGAACAAGAAGUUAUUCCAAAUAUGACUUAUGUAUUCAUUCAAUGAAAGUAACUUUUUCAUUUAAAAAAAGUAAUUUCUUGGUGAUAAAAAGAAAUAUUUUUUUAGUAGCUUUUUGAUGCUAUAAAAAAAGUGUUGGCUAAGUUUGUAUGAUAAAAUUGGUGUUAUUUAUAUACCUGCACUUUUGCUAGGGUCUUAUUUAUAGGGAAACUUGUGUUUAAUAUGCUCAAUUCUAUUUCUUUGUAUGGCUAUGCAAUUGUUCAGAUUUGGCAACACUAAUCAAUAAAUGUACGUUAUAUUUGAAACAUUGGAAUAAAAAAAAGAAUAAGAGUUAAUUUUAUUUUCAAUUUAUUACUAUAUUUGAAUUAUUUUUUACAAUGAUAAUAGAAUUAAAAAGAAAAUCACUUAGUAACCCUUAGGUACUACCUUAAUAUACCUUAAAUAACCUUAAUCGAUCUUAGAUAUUAUCUUAGUUACACUUGGGUACUACCUAUGUGAAGCCUCAAAACUUCAUUUGUAGACAUUACUUCAUGUGUGAACAUUAGAGAUGACAUUAUGUGCACCUUUAAUAAGUGUUACUAAGGUAGUACCUAAGGUACAAUCAACACUAUAUCAAAGGUGCACAUAAUGUCAUGCUCUAAUGUUCACAAAUAAAGUAAGUAAUGUUUACAAAUGAAGUUUCCAGGCUUCACACAGGUAGUAUCCAAGUCUAAUUAAGUAGUACCUAAGGUCGGUAAGGUAGAUUAAGGUAAUACCUAAGGGUUACUAAGGUAGUACCUAAGGUACAAUCACCACUAUAUCAAAGGGGCACAUAAUGUCAUGCUCUAAUGUUCACAAAUAAAGUAAGUAAUGUCCAUAAAUAAAGUUUCGAGGCUUCACACAGGUGGUACCCAAGUUUAACUGAGAUAAUACCUACAAUUAGUUAAAAUUAGUACCUACAAUCAGUUAAGAUAGUACUUAAGAUAAAUUAAUGUAGUACCUAAAGGUUACUAAGGUAGUACCUAAAGGUUACUAAGGUAGUACCUAAGGUACAGUAAAUACUAAAGAACAAUAAAUAAAAAUUAAUUACCUUCGUAUUUCGAGUAGGGGUUAGGGAAAAAUGUGACAGAAUGACAGGAAGACGAGACAUUUUUUUUUAGGAAACCAAUAUUUUGGAUUUCACCUUUUCGUCCAAGUACGCUUUGCUAUAGAAAAAUCAAUAUCAUAGUUGCGCCUAUUGAAACCAUCUUUUAACUGGACGUUCUUAGGAUGGAGUGCUCCAUUUGGUUGUUGAGAAUUUAGACAAGAAAGAAAAAUGCAGGUUGGAGUUUUGGAUUAAGGGUUUCUUUUCUCAAAUUGAAGAAAUUUUAGGAAAUUUUAAAUGGGUUUUAGGAUCGUCUGGGUGAUAAAGCCAAGAGAAAUAGAGAAAGAAAUGUUUCCAACCUUUAAGAGGAAAAAGUUUCAGAUUUGGGAAAUUUGAGAUGGUUCCCGGGUCAAGUGUUUUUUUGUGUUUUAGAUUUGAGAAGUUUCAAAUUCUUGGAGAAGAUAUAAAUAUGUAGAUUUGAAUUUUAAGGGUUUCUUUUUUGAAAUGAGAGAAAUUUUGGAAAAUUUUAUAGGUGUCUUUCUAAUUCGGCUAGGUAAGGAAGUGAAGAGAGUUGAGAGAAAAUGUUCCCAAAUGAGAGAGAUGGAAAGUUUUUGAUUUGGGAAAUUAGAGGUGUUGUCAGGAUGGGUGUUUAUGAGAACUUUCAAAUUCUAAUUUUUGUGUUUUGUUUAAUUUCAGAAGGUCUUGUUGACAUGAAAAGCUGACUUACUGCUGACAUGGAGACAUUGAGGGACAAUCUGGGAAUAGAAAAUGUAAACAUGACAUAGUGCAUGAGAACGAUAAUAUUUUCUCCAAUAACAGGGAAAUAUCAUAUUUCAUAUACUUGGGGUUCGAAAAGCAUAUAAUUUUCAAAUCACAGACUGAAAACACAAGUUUCCCAUAAAUAUACUUAAAGCAUGUUUGAUAACAAUUUUGAAAAAUAAUUUUCGAAAAUAGUUAUUUAAAAUUGUUUUUUGAUGUUUACAACAUAAAAAAAAAAAAAAAACAUGUUUGACAACCUAAAAUAAUUUUUAUAUCUAAUAUUUUAUUUUUAAUAAUUCGAUAUAUUUGUAUAAUUAUUUUUAAAAAUAGCUGUAAAAAAUAAGUGAAAACAAGUAAAGAUGUUAUCCGAAAACAUUAUAUUUUUUAUUUUUAAAAACAAAAAAUAGUUUUUCUUAUUCUCAAACAAGUUUUCCUGUUUUUUACGAAGAAAAAAUUAUUGUCAAACAAUCCCUUAUAUACUUGUGUUUUAUCAAGUGGUGAAAUAUCUUUGUAUGAAUUAUAUAGCAACUCAUAAGAGUAAGAGAAAAAGAGACAAUUUUAAAAGUGCAUAUGACAAGUGGAAAUUAUUAGAAAAGAGGCAAUUUUAAGAAUGGAUUUGAUAUGUGUCACAAAGACCACUAAAAUUUGGUGUGAAUAUAUAAAUAAGUUUUAAAUUUUGUUGAUUAACAUAUCUAUAAAUUUUUUUAUUUAUAAAAUUUAAUUUUUAGAGAAAUUUUAGAUAAAAAGAUUUUAGAUCUAUUCAAUCAAAAAUUGAAAGAGUAACUUAAUGUAUUUACUCUAAGCCUCAUGGUGUGUGAAUUAAACCAACCUUCAAAGAAAAAUAGAAAAAAAAAAAAGUGAAUCAUAAUAAAAAGGAAAGUAGUCAAAAUCAAAAGGAGAAUCAAAUUUGAUUUCCAUAUUAGUGAUUUUUUAAAAAAAAUUCUAUUAUCAUUGUAAAAAAUAAUUCAAAUACAUUAAUAAAUUGAAAAUAAACUUAACUCUUAUUCUCAUUUCUUAUUCCAAUGUUUCAAAUAUAACGUCCAUUUAUUGAUUAGUGUUGCCAAAUCCGAACAAUUGCAUAGCAAUACAAAGAAAUGGAAUUGAGCAUAUAAAACACUUUUUUUUUAUAGUAUCAAAAAGCUACUGAAAAAAAUAUUUCUUAUCUCCAAGAAAUUACUUUUUUAAAAUGAAAAAAUUACUUUCAUUGAAUGAAUACAUAAGCCGUAUUUGGAAUAACUUCUUAUUCUUAAUUUUAAUUAAAAGCAAAAAGUCACAAUUUUUUAAAAAUAAUAUUGAUAUUAUAAAAAAUGUAUUAAACAUAAAAAAACCUUUUUGAAUAAAUCAAAAUAAAGCUUUAAAAAAAACAUUUUCUUGAUUUUCAUAUUAAGUUAUUUUUUAAGUUAUAAAUUAUUUAAAUAAAAUGAGCAGCAUAAAAAAUCUUAUAGAGCUUUAAAAAUGGUUUUUGACUACUCAAAUCCACCCAAUCGGAACCAUCAUCCCGGUAACUUGGGGCCAGAAAAAUUGGCAAAAGGAAUGAGGUUAAAGUUCAGUACGUGUUGCAUGCAUCUUAUUAAAGACCAUAAAAGCAAUUCCAUAAUAUAUCACAUUUGGAGUUUUGGAUUUGGGUUUUUAAACUAAAAUGAGAGAAAUUUUGGGUUGUCGAAAGCGAAGAAAGAUGAGAGAAAACUUUCAAAUAAGUAAAUUGAAAACUUACAGAUUGUGUGUGUGUGUUUUUUUUUUUUUUUUUUAAAAAAAGUUAUAGAUUAAGAUUUUAAUAUUUUUUUUUUCUUAAUUUCAGUGGUUUGAUUGAUAUAGAGGUUGAAAUGAUGUUGAGGAUGCUAAGCUGGAGACAUGAAUGGGCAACUUGGGCAUGAAAGAUGGAGCCAGCUCAGAGGCAUAAAAACGAUAAUACUUUUUAUAUUAAAAAUUGAUUUUCAUAUUAAAUUUUAUACAUCUAUUUUAAAACAAUUAAAAUUUUAUUCAAUUUUCAAUUAUAAUAUAUGCACUGCCUCUCGCGGGUCGAUACUGCUGACGAGUGCAUGAAAUUAUUAUAAAUAUCUCAUGGAAUGAGGACAGAUUAAAGAAGAGGAGAGAGAGAGAGAGAGAGGGAGAAGAAGAAGACAACCAAAAAAGAAAAGGAAGACAGCAUUGUAAACAUAGAAAAUGGAAAGUAUUGGAAAUAUUUCAUGAAAUCGGAGUAAACAACAAAACAAAAUAAAAUACUUUUAAUCCCUGUUUCCUACUUCUGUCAUAAAGUAUGGAUAGAGAUGAGACGAAGGAGGAGAAGGAGGAGAAGGAGGAGCACUCAGCUUUCACCGAUACUGCAGUGUGUUGUGGUGGUGUAGCAUAUGGUAGGAUGUCAUUCUUGCUCCAAAAGUGUGGGCAGAUCCAUUUUUAUUUUCCUUUUUUCAUCUCUGUCCUCACUGAUUCGUUUUGGGUAUCCAUCAAUAUUUAUCAGUGGGCUUGGUGUUAGUCAAAAGCCACCAAUUUUUCUUUCCUUUUUUUUUUUCCCAUAUAUUAGAAUGAAAUGUUGUUGUCCAUUUUAGGGGAAGGCGUUAUGCUGAACUGAACUGUGCGAGGGGAAUGAAAAUUAAUUUAGGGGUUUUCUUCCUCCUCUAUUUUUGGCUCUCUUUCAUGAGGGUACAGAUUCUCUUUUUUUCUCUCGGAGUGUUUGGAUUGUUUCAUUCCAUUUAACUAUUUUUGCAGCAUAUUCCGAGUGUUAUAGGUAUUGGGUAAUCAGUAAUACAGAAAAUGUAAUAUAAUUUUGUACUAUGUAGUUUUGGACUUGGGGUAGGAUGAGUUUAAUUUAUGUAGAUUCAUGUCACUAUUCUCAGCCUUCAAUGCAUUGAUUUCUCCAGAUUUUGAUAUAUAUAUAUAUAUAUAUAUACAAACUGCAAUGGGAAUAAAAAGGAUGGUUGUUUCUUCAAGAAUUCUGAGAAAAAAAAAGGGGGUGGGGGGGCAAGAGAGGUUUGAGGAGGCCAUUGGGACUGUUAUCAGUUCUGUGUCUUUUGUUUUCAAGUUGUAAGAAGUCCCUGUUAUGCCAUUUGCUAUGUUGUUUCUGUCCAAUUUUCAGUUGAAAGAGUGGUAGAUUAGAGAAGGAGGAAUGGCUCAGACAUCUGGAUGCAGCUCUGGAGAUAGUAGAUGGUCUCUCAAGGGAAUGACUGCUCUCGUAACUGGUGGAACUAAAGGAAUUGGGUUUGUGAUGUUACCUGUAUUCUAUGUCUUUGGUUUGGACUACACCUUCCUUCCCAUAUAUAAAUGUAUGUAUCAAUUAUGCAGGCAUGCAAUUGUGGAAGAACUGGCUGGACUAGGAGCAACCAUACACACAUGUUCUAGAAAAGAAACCGAGCUCAAUGAAUGCUUGAAGGAUUGGAAAGCUAAAGGUUUUGGAGUGAGUGGUUCAGUGUGUGAUGUAUCCUCUCGGGCCCAAAGGGAGAAGCUAAUGCAGACUAUCUCUUCUGUGUUCAAUGGGAAGUUGAAUAUCCUUGUAAGUUCCUCUAGCCUGUAAAGUUCCAACCUGUGAUCUUAUACAUAAUUUGUUGAACUUAUUACAAUUGAGUUCCCCUGCUUGAAUUUUUGUUGGAUUCAGAUCAACAAUGCUGCUAUAAGUAUUCAGAAACCAACAAUAGAGGUCACAGCUGAAGAGUUCUCAACAAUCAUGGCCACAAAUUUUGAAUCUGUGUACCAUCUGUCCCAAAUCGCACACCCCCUUUUAAAGGCAUCAGGAGCCGGAAGCAUUGUAUUCAUCUCCUCUGUUUCCGGCAUAGUGGCACACAAGAAUAUCUCUGCUUAUUCAGUAACCAAAGGUAUUUCAUCACAUGAUCCAUGGUAUAUUCCAAGUGCUAGGAGUAAAUUCCUAUUUACCAGAGCAAUACUGAACAAGAGAAACAUAUAGAAUUUAUAGCGGUUCUCUUCUAAAGGGAGAGCUACAUCCAUUUUGCCAUUGUAGAUUUUCAUUAUGAAAAAAAAAAAAACCUACAGAACGAUCUCAGGUCUUACAAUAAUUAUCUCAUCUCUGAUUUUCCACAGAGAAAACAGUCACCAUGCAUGUACAAAAUAACUAUAAUAUCCCUUUGAUUGAUUCUCAGUCACCAGGAAAAGUGUAUAUUGUAAUUAGCAAGGCUCCACACAACUGAACAGCAAGUCCUUGGAUUGACCAUCUGUCAUUAUCAUUUUGUGAUUUUUCAGGAGCAAUGAAUCAACUUACAAAGAAUUUGGCAUGCGAGUGGGCGAAAGACAAUAUUAGAAGUAAUGCUGUAGCUCCUUGGUACAUCAAAACUCCAAUGGUGGAGCAGGUAAUUUCUAAUUUCCCUUCACAUCAUUUAGUUGCUCGAAUUCCCUUCUUUUUUUCUUGGUCUGGGAAAAUAGAAUAAUUGACUCGUCCUUCCUUCUCUGUCGUUUACAUUCUCUGGGUUCCAGAUGCUCACUAACCAAGCCUUUCUGGAAGAGGUGAUAAAUCGAGCUCCACUUCGUCGUGUGGGAGAUCCAAAGGAGGUGUCAUCUUUGGUAGCAUUCCUCUGCCUACCGGCAUCAUCUUACAUUACUGGACAGAUUAUUUGUGUUGAUGGUGGCAUGACUGUUAAUGGUUUUGAGUCAAACCUGCUCUAGGAACAUCAUAUGUGAUGGUAUUAUAGCCCUAAUUUGGCUGGCAUGUAUGGAGACUCUUUCAAACAUCUUAGCUUCCUCUACUGCUUCCAUGCCUGGAUCCUUUCUUUUUCCUGAAUAAUCUGCUUGUCAUGCCAAAGUCUUUAGUUUUUUUGGUGUGGGGUUCCCUUGAAAACCUUGCUGCAUGAUGCUUAUAAUAAUGUUUGGAAAGUUUGCUAAUUUUUAUUUGGGUUCAAAUUUUAAUUUUUCAAAAAGUUUCUUAUUAUUUGAUGAGAUUCUUGUGAAGGGUGUUUUUAUAAGGAUUUUAAUUCCAUACAUAAAUCAUACAUCUUUAAUCUCAAUACCAUUGAAAUAUAUAUCCAAUCCUUUGUUGUUCUUUCGUUUUUUUGUAACUUAAUUGUAGUAGGAUCGGAAAUAUGCGAACACUUUCUACUUUUGACCAUUUGCUUUGCUAAAUUAGACCAACUUUUCAUAAUACAAUUCUCAAGUAUUUCUUCAUUUUCAUUACAAUGAUCAUGCAUGGAUAUGGAAAAACUAAUCGGACUCUAAUGUCGUUCAAAUGCAUUUCAUAGAUCAAUCUUCAUCGUCGUAUCCUAAUUUUCAAAACUUGUUAGAACUUCUAAACUUAGUCAAUAUGUAUAGACAUGAUAUCCUCCAUGAUUUUUUUUUAUUGCAACGAAAAAAAGUUAUACAUUCUAUAUUUGAUCCCUAAAUAAAAAAGAAAAAAAGAAAAAAAAAAGAAUGUCUUGCAAAAAUAUUAGGGUUGCACAAAGUUUGGUUGUUAGAAUAAGUAAAAAUGAUGUGCAUCAAAAUAUGUCUUUGAGAAUGGCAAAUAUGUGAGUGCGCUUUAAAAACUCAAAUGGCUUCAAAUGAAUUUCAAGGAAAUGAUUCCAACAUAUAUUCAUCUUCUUAUACCUUUCUGUGCUUCUCCACCAUUUGUAACAAUUUCCUCACUCAUUUGUAAUCCUAAUAAACCUUCCGACCUAUUUUAAAAUUUGUCAAUAUAUUUUAAGCUAAGCUCACCAUCUAUAGUAUCAAAAAAAUUUCUCCUUAAUCCAUGUGGGAUAUGUAUAAUGAAUAAUAUUUGCUCAAAGGUUAAAUAUAUGAAAAUAAUUAAGAUUCAAUCACAUAAAAAUUACAUAUAGCAAGUAGGGAUAACAAUUUUGAUACUAAUAUAAUAAAACGACUAAAAAAUUACAUGGAUUUUAGUAGUUUUGGGUUAAGUAUAAUCAUAUUUAUGUUAUAAUUGUGUAAACACAUUUAUUAAACCAAUGAUAUUGGAAUGUGACUAUUCAACUCAUUUAACCCAUUUAUUUAUUCAUAUCAAAACACAUCUAUGAUAUGAUUAUGAGAACUAAUUUAUGAUUGACAUAACCAAUUUAUAACUUAUUAAUUAAUUCAUAUAAAUUUAUUAAUUUUAUAGAUAUUUAAAAAAUAUUAAAAAUUUAAAACACUUUUUCAAUUAUAAAGAUGUCCUAUAAAACACUAAGGAGGUCACCCUUAUUUAUAUAUGAAAUUAGGGAAUUAAAUUUGAAAUAUAUGAUAUUUGAUUACUUAAUUUAAAGAAUUUGAUUUCUUAAUUUCAAUAACUUUUCAGCCUCAUUUAAGAAAUUUGCCAACAAUCAAAUGUUUUUUCUAAGUCCCUUUUGACUUCAAUUUCCCAAUUUGUUUCUCCUAUUUGAGAAAUCUAUCAAUAAGAAAAUAUUUCUCUCUAAUUCCUUUUUAACUUUAAUUAUUUUAUUUUAUUUUAUAAGACUAGAUUUUGAAACCGUUCAAAUUUUACCGUGUGUUAUUUUUAAAAUCGUAUAUCGCAUGUUCAAUGUGUAGAAUUCAUGACUUAUGAAAUCCAAAUUUUAUUGAACUAUAGGGUUAUAACUUUAGUGACAAAUUUUAUAGUAAUUUAAUCCUUCUUUUAUUUUUAAGCCUACAUAGCUCAACAAGUUGAAUAUAUUUUUAUCGUGUUAAUGGGUUAUCAGUCUUGAUUUAAUUUAAUUUAUCAAAGAGGUUAAAUGAAUGAUUCCCAAUUUGCCACCACAAUAACAAGAGACAACAGACAGAAGGAAAGAGAAACUAAAAUACGUAAUGUGACUUUUCCUUUCAUGUUGCUUACUAUACUUGGUGUCUCUUAAUUUGUUUUUAUUAUAAGAUGUUAAUAAUAUGAUUUUAUUGAUUUAUACCCCAUAUAUAUCAUUUGAGGGAUUGAAAAUAUUGCAAAUUCAUAAUUAAAUUUAAAAGAUAAAUACAUAUACACACACACACAUAUAUAUAUAUAUAUAUAUAUAUAUAUAUAUAUAUAUGAAUAAAAAAAAUCAUCUAUGUAUAAAAUAAUAAUAAGUAGUCUAUUUUUAUCAUUUUUAUGUUAGAAGUUAAUCGAAAACAUAUUUUUUGUUUUUCCAUAAUUUAUACAAAAUUAUAAUAAAAUUUUUAUUCUAGAUAAAAUUAUAUUUUAUAAUUUGUAAUAAUUUAAUUAUAUCAAUUUAAUAUUUUGAUAUCCGUCGUAAAUUAUAUAGAAAUAUUGGAGUGCAAAUACUAAACUACAUAAUAACAACAAGACACCUUAUUCAUCCAAAUUUUCAAAUUUCAAAUAGAAAAUAUUAAAAACAUAAUUUUUAAAUUUAUUAAAAUAUUUAUAUUUGUAAAAAAGUAAUUAAUAAAGAUUUUAAAAUUUUAAAUAUGAUUAAUGAGAUUAUUAUGUGGGUAUUUAUUACUAAUAUUUAAUAUUAAAAAAAAUAAAAUAACAAUAUGAUAUUAAGAUUAUAUUUUUAUAAAUAUAGCAAAAUGAGAUUAUUCUAAAUUCAGUGAUGAUAACAUUAUAGUAAAAAUAAGGAGUGAUAUAAUUAUAAAUAUUUCACUAAGAGCAUAAAAAAUAAAAAAAUAUGGUAAAUUUAGCGAGUAAUAUUGUUACUAUAAAUAUCUGGUGACACGACGACAGAUAUAUGAGUAGAGAAAAACCUCGCUAUUCUACAUAUAGAGAUUCAGAUACCAUUGCCUAUGUCAUGAAAUCAGAGUCCACAAGAAGACAACAUAAAAUGCUAUCGAUCCAUCGCUGUUUCUUGCUCCUGUUAUAAAUUAUGGAUACUAGAUGAAGAUGAGAAGUAGAAGGAGAAGAAACACUUAGCUUUCAAGGAGUCGUAGAGCAGAGGAGGAGACAUGGCUCAGACAUGUGGGUGCAGCUCUGGAGAUAGUAGAUGGUUUCUCAAGGGAAUGACUGCUCUUGUAACCGGUGGAACUAAAGGAAUUGGGUUGGUGUUACCUGUUUUUACGUCUUUGGGUUUGGACUACACCUUCCUAUAUAUAAACGUAUGUAUCAAUUCUGCAGGCAUGCAAUUGUGGAGGAACUGGCUGGAUUAGGAGCAACCAUACACACGUGUUCUCGAAAAGAAAGCGAGCUCAAUGAAUGCUUAAAGGAUUGGAAAGCUAAAGGUUUGGAGUGAGUGGUUCAGUGUGUGAUGUAUCCUCUCGGGCCCAAAGGGAGAAGCUAAUGGAGACUGUCUCUUCUGUGUUCAAUGGGAAGCUGUAUAUCCUUGUAAGUUCCUCUAGUCUCUAAGGUUCCUAUCCAUGAUAUUCCACAUACUUUGUCGAACUUCCUACAAUUUGAGUUCCCCUACUUGAUAUAUAUAUAUAUAUAUAUAUUAUAUACUUUUUUUUAGAACCAGACAGCUUUGGUUUCAAAGACCCUACAUUUACCCAUCAUCCUUGUUAAAUAAUUAUGAGGAAGUCAUACUUACACGUGGAGAUUGAAAAAAAUAAUGAAUGAAUUCCACCAAAUGAAUUAAUUUUGUUUGGCAAUUUCAUUUGAAAAUCAACAAAGAAUGAUGUGAGGUGUGAAUCUUUUUCCAUAUAUCAGCGCACAUAUUCAAAUUCAGCCCUUUCCAUUAAUCUGAUAGCGAUUAUGAGGUUGCGUAGAUGCUACAACAACGACCAAAUGUGAUGAAGAUUUCAGGAAGUGUUGUGAAGAAUUUGAAGAAAAAUAUGAAGAAUUUGAAACAAAAUAUGGAGGAACACCUCAAUUCAUUCUGUGAUACCUUCCUUUACAAUGAAUGAAAGCAUAAAUAAAUAGCCUACGGAUAUGAGACAAUUCCGGAAUGGAAUUUCCCUUACAUGGAAAGUGAAUAAACUCUUACAUGGGAAGUGAAUAAACUACUCUUACAUGGAAAGUGAAUAAACUACCUUGCUAGAAUUACUCCUAAAUAUAUAAACUACUCUUACAUGGAAAGUGAAUAAACUACCUUGCUAGAAUUACUCCUAAAUCAAUUAUAAUAAAGGCUGUACAUUACACUAAUUAGGGAAGUAAACAGAGGAUGCUGGCUUGAUUUCCAACACUCCCCCUCAAGCCGCAUUGUAGAUGUUGAUCAUUCCAAGUUUUUCUGUCAGAUCUUCGAAGUUAACUCGAGCAAGAGCUUUUGUGAGAAUGUCAGCCGUUUGACAGUUUGUCGGAGUGUAGCUGACUUUGAAAACUCCUUCUUCAAUCUUUUCCUUGAUAAAGUGUCGAUCUAUCUCCACGUGCUUAGUUCGAUCAUGAUGAACCGGAUUCUUAGCGAUACUGAUGGCAGCUUGAUUGUCGCAGUAUAACACCAUGGGAUGCUUCAAUGGAACCCGUAAUUCUUCUAACAGCCUGUUCAACCAGAUUCCCUCGCAGAUACCUUGUGCCAUAGCACGAAAUUCUGCCUCAGCACUGCUACGGGCUACCACUGACUGUUUCUUGCUUCGCCAUGUAACCAAGUUCCCUCAGACAAAUGAACAAUAGCCUGAAGUUGAUCUCCGAUCAGUCACUAAACCUGCCCAAUCUGCAUCUGAAAAAAUCUCUAUCUCUUUAUUUGUUGUUCUUUGAAAGAAGAGACCCUUUCCCGGUGUCAUCUUGAGGUAUCUCAAUAUUCUGAUCACAGCAAUCAUGUGUUUUUCGGUUGGAUUAUUCAUGAAUUGACUUACCACACUAACGGAGAAGCCGAUGUCUGGCCUUGUAUGAGAAAGAUAGAUGAGUUUCCCCACAAGACGUUGAUAUCUUCCUUUAUCAACUGGCGCACUUCCAUCACAUUUCUUCCANNNNNNNNNNNNNNNNNNNNNNNNNNNNNNNNNNNNNNNNNNNNNNNNNNNNNNNNNNNNNNNNNNNNNNNNNNNNNNNNNNNNNNNNNNNNNNNNNNNNNNNNNNNNNNNNNNNNNNNNNNNNNNNNNNNNNNNNNNNNNNNNNNNNNNNNNNNNNNNNNNNNNNNNNNNNNNNNNNNNNNNNNNNNNNNNNNNNNNNNNNNNNNNNNNNNNNNNNNNNNNNNNNNNNNNNNNNNNNNNNNNNNNNNNNNNNNNNNNNNNNNNNNNNNNNNNNNNNNNNNNNNNNNNNNNNNNNNNNNNNNNNNNNNNNNNNNNNNNNNNNNNNNNNNNNNNNNNNNNNNNNNNNNNNNNNNNNNNNNNNNNNNNNNNNNNNNNNNNNNNNNNNNNNNNNNNNNNNNNNNNNNNNNNNNNNNNNNNNNNNNNNNNNNNNNNNNNNNNNNNNNNNNNNNNNNNNNNNNNNNNNNNNNNNNNNNNNNNNNNNNNNNNNNNNNNNNNNNNNNNNNNNNNNNNNNNNNNNNNNNNNNNNNNNNNNNNNNNNNNNNNNNNNNNNNNNNNNNNNNNNNNNNNNNNNNNNNNNNNNNNNNNNNNNNNNNNNNNNNNNNNNNNNNNNNNNNNNNNNNNNNNNNNNNNNNNNNNNNNNNNNNNNNNNNNNNNNNNNNNNNNNNNNNNNNNNNNNNNNNNNNNNNNNNNNNNNNNNNNNNNNNNNNNNNNNNNNNNNNNNNNNNNNNNNNNNNNNNNNNNNNNNNNNNNNNNNNNNNNNNNNNNNNNNNNNNNNNNNNNNNNNNNNNNNNNNNNNNNNNNNNNNNNNNNNNNNNNNNNNNNNNNNNNNNNNNNNNNNNNNNNNNNNNNNNNNNNNNNNNNNNNNNNNNNNNNNNNNNNNNNNNNNNNNNNNNNNNNNNNNNNNNNNNNNNNNNNNNNNNNNNNNNNNNNNNNNNNNNNNNNNNNNNNNNNNNNNNNNNNNNNNNNNNNNNNNNNNAUGCAUGAAACGUAGGUGAUAGCUUAUCAUAAGAAAAUAAAAUUUCCAAAUGGGAUGCUGAGUGCAUGAUCUAACUCCUUUCCUCCAAGCUAUGGGCAUAUUAAGAAUAUCAUUUUCUAACUCGGAAUCAACAGUACCAUCAGGAGCGUUGUUACCUGGAAGUUUGCUUGGAUUAGGACCCGGUUCUGCCUCAUGGGUUUGUUGAGAAAGUGAUCUUUCCUCCGUUUCCUCUUGGAUGUGCUCCUUAUCCCACAAGUCAACAAUGGACUCGGGUUGAUUAAAUGACUCUGGAGGAAUGUGAUUUUCAGUGGUGAUGGGUGACUCACUGAAUGACUCAAGAUCCCAAAAUUGAUAUUCCUGAGUUGAAUUCUCCCCCUGAAUAUCGUUUUUGGGAUAGUAAGGCUGGGUUUCAAAAAAGGUGACAUCCAUUGAAUUUUAGAAUUUUCUUGUGACCGGAGAGUAACACUUAUACCCUUUUUGAUUUGAAGAAUACCCAAGAAAGAUGCACUUGAGUGACCUAGGAUCAAGUUUACUUCUAUGUUGUUGAUUGAUAUGAACAAAGAUAGAGCACCCGAAAAUUUUAGGUGGGACGGUGGAGAUGAGACGAGUAGUCGGAAAGGAUUUUAGGAGUGUUUGACAAGGUGUUUGGAAUUUUAGUACCCUAGACGGCAUCCUAUUGAUGAGGUAGGCUGCCAUAAGGACAGCUUGCCCCCAGAAUAAUUUUGGAACAUUCAUGGAGAACAUUAGUGAUCUAGCCACCUCUAACAAAUGCCUAUUUUUCCUUUCAGCGAUUCCGUUUUGUUGUGGGGUAUCAACACAUGAAUUUAAGUGAACUAUCCCUUCUUGUGCUAGAAAUUCUCCUAGAAUGGAGUUGAAAUAAUCCCUAGCAUUAUCAGACUUUAGAAUUUGUAUUUUUGACUGGAAUUGAGUCUGAAUCAUAUUUUUAAAAUUUUUGAAAAUUUGACUCGUUUCAGAUUUUUCUUUCAUGAGGAAUACCCAAGUUAAUCUAGUGUGAUCAUCUAUGAAUGAGACAAACCACCUAGUACCAGUUACAUUUUUUAUUCUUGAUGGACCCCAGAUAUUGCUAUGAAUCAUUGAGAAUGGACUAGACUCUUUAUAGGGUUGAAUGGGAAAAUGAGACCGGACUUGCUUUGAUAAUUGACAGAUUUCACACUCAAAGGAUUUUGGAUUUUUAUUAAAUAAUGAAGGAAAUAAAUGCUUGAGAUACAUAACAUUUGGAUGACCUAAGCGAUAGUGCCACAACCUAAUUGCACUAUCGUUAUUUUGACAUGAAACCAAAAAAGAAUUACUACCAACUGUCAUUUGAGGUUGUUCUUGUGGAUCGUGGCGCUCCUUAAGGAUGUAGAGUCCAGAGCAUUCCUCAGCAUUGCCAAUCGUCUUCCCCGAAUCCAAAUCCUGAAAUUCACAGUGAGUGGAGGAAAAAUUAGUAGAUACACCUCUUUUCCUUAGUGAGUUUACUAANNNNNNNNNNNNNNNNNNNNNNNNNNNNNNNNNNNNNNNNNNNNNNNNNNNNNNNNNNNNNNNNNNNNNNNNNNNNNNNNNNNNNNNNNNNNNNNNNNNNCGUCAUAUGAUCAGAUGCUCCUGAGUCCACUAUCCAAGGUUUUUUACGUUUCUUACCAGCAGUGAAGGCACUCAAAAAAUUACCUUUGUGAGCCAAGGUUCCGGAACCAAUGACCUGGUUGGAAGAUGAGCCAGUUUGUGACUGUACUGACAAAAGAGGAGACAGUAGUUUCUGAAGCAUCUCCAUCUGAUGAGAGGAUGAAGACGAUGAGAUGAUGAUAUCAGAAGUAGAGGAUGAUGAGUUGGUAGCCAUUCCAAAGGCUGGACCGUAUUUAGGCAUAAAUUAGAAGAAUAGAAUUGAGUAAAAAAAAACUGACUAAAGAUGAAGACGAUGAGACAGGAUUAAACCUGCUCUGAUACCAUGAAGAAUUUGAAGAAAAAUAUGAAGAAUUUGAAAACAAAAUAUGGAGGAACACCUCAAUUCAUUCUGUGAUACCUUCCUUUACAAUGAAUGAAAGCAUAAAUAAAUAGCCUACGGAUAUGAGACAAUUCCGGAAGGGAAUUUCCCUUACAUGGAAAGUGAAUAAACUCUUACAUGGGAAGUGAAUAAACUACUCUUACAUGGAAAGUGAAUAAACUACCUUGCUAGAAUUACUCCUAAAUCAAUUAUAAUAAAGGCUGUACAUUACACUAAUUAGGGAAGUAAACAGAGGAUGCUGGCUUGAUUUCCAACAUGUUGGAGUGCGCAUGCUUGAGGAUGAAAACUGUGAACUUGAAAUGACUUAGAAGAUUAAUUUAAGUUUUCAAAUACAUAAAAUAUAAUUAAUAACAUAACUUAAUACAAUAAGUUAAGGCUUCCUAAAGUCUUAAAAUAAAUAACUUUUUCCCAACCUGAAAUAUCCUUUGCCUUGGUAAUAUUCAUGUUCUUCAAGAUCAAAAUUAGUUUGUUUGAUAUAUAAUUCAAAUUAAAAGAUGGAGGGUGUGCCGGGUCCUUUCUAAAUUCAAAAUGGCAUCAUGAAUCAGGUAAGGUUGUGCCCCACGGAUGAAAAUAUAGUAUUAGUUUGGACAAUGUGCCAUGGAAAGAAGAUAGAUUAAGUUCUACAUAUUCAUAUCAGUUGUCUCAGCUUUCACGGCAGACAUUUUCGACGCAAGAGACCGUCUCUUGCGGUGAGUAUUAACCACACUUCUAAAGUUGGAUGUUCGAGAAGACAACUGGGAUUGAUCAGUUUUGUCUCUUUUAUUUUCAGCUUCCUAGAAUCUCUCUCUCUAUCUCUCUUUUUUUUUUCUCAAGGUUAAUGUCAUUUUCUAUGUUGUGGUAGAGUAGAGAAGAACUCAGAAGGCAUGGCACAGACUGGCUGCAGCAAUGGAGAUAAUAGAUGGUCUCUCAAGGGAAUGACAGCCCUUGUAACGGGUGGAAUGAACUUUGAUCUGUCUCUGCCAAUUAUCACCUUGUUUUUAUAUCAAUUCUGCAGGCAUGCUGUUGUGGAAGAACUGACUGGAUUAGGUGCAAGAAUACAUACAUGUUCUCGAACAGAAACUGGGCUUAAUGAAUACUUAAGGGAUUGGGAGGGUAAAGGUUUUGAAGUCACUGGCUCAGUCUGUGAUGUAUCCUCUAGGGCCCAAAGAGAGAAGCUAAUGGAGACAGUAUCUUCUAAGUUUAAUGGGAAGCUGAAUAUCCUUGUUAGUUCCUCUAGUUUGUUAAAUGUGACCCAUCCAUUUUAGAAUCAUUUUCACUAAAUAUAAUUGAUGAGUUACCCUAACUGAAUCUUUGAAUUUAGAUCAACAACGCUGGAACUGGCAAACCGGGACGGACAGUGGAGUUCGCAGCUGAAGAGUUCUCAACGGUCAUGGCUGUAAAUUUUGAAUCUGUGUAUCAUCUAUGCCAACUUGCGCAUCCCCUUCUGAAGGCCUCAGGAGCGGGAAGUAUUGUGCUCAUGUCUUGUGUUUCAGGUGUAGUAUCACUCAAGUAUCUAUCUGCCUAUGGAGCAACCAAAGGUACUUCAUGCCACCAUCGGGUUUAUGUUGCAGGUCCUGUGUUGUUGGACAAGAUGAUAGAUAUUUACCUUUAAAAUUUUUCUUUCGGGGGCACUGAAUCAGCUUGCAAAGAACUUGGCAUGCGAGUGGGCGCAAGACAAUAUCAGGACAAACUCUGUUGCCCCUCGGUACAUCAAAACUUCUCUGGUAGAACCUGUGAGUUUAAUUCCCUUCACCUCAUUUAAAAGUUGCUGUUGUUUUCAUUGGGAAAACUGAUUAAUAAACCAAUCUUCUGUUUUGUUUUCUUUUAUUUUUUUGGUUGUAUCAUUUUGGUUUCAGUUUCUUAGUGAGAAAAGCUUUACGGAAGAGGUAAUAAGAAGAACUCCGCUUGGUCGAGUGGGGGAUCCAAAGGAGGUGUCAUCCUUGGUAGCAUUCCUCUGCCUACCAGUAUCAUCUUACAUUACUGGCCAGACCAUUUGUGCUGAUGGUGGGAUGAAUGUUAAUGGUUUCGAUCCGAGUCAAUGCUAGAAACAACUAGCAUUUAUAUAAUUGUUGUUUUCUCAUAUUUUUCAUACUCACUCUAAUAUUCUUCAUUAUCAUAUUUAUAUAUAUAUAUAUAUAUAGAUAUAUAUAUAUAUUUAUGUAGGUGUACGUGCACACGUGUGUUCAUGUGCGGAUCAUGGACAUUUUUUUUGUAUUCUGUCAUAUUCUUCUUACACUCUCAAAAUAUUCAUAUAUUUUUUACAAUCUUCAUGCAUUUUUUUUUUUUAAUUCUUGAUAUUCUCUCAUAUUCUUUGUAUAAUUUAUAUUGGAAAAAUGAAUAAAAAAAAUAUGGUUUAAAAUUGAUAAAAUAAGAAUAAAAGAUAUAAAAAUAAAAUAAAAUGAUAGAAAAAUAUCAAUAUUAGAGGAAGAUAUACUUGGAUAAUUAGACGCUAAAACCUUGAAGAUGCAAACAUAGUAUGUGGCUAUUUAAUGAGGAACUUAAGGAAUUUGUUCAAUAAUAGUAGCUACCAUGGGAUUAAAGGAUAGUGUAAACGAGUCCGAGGGAGAAACAAUUUUAAUAAAAAAUUAAUUAAAAAUUUAUAUAUUUGUAAUAAAAAUUUGAAAUAAGUUAAAUUAAUUUAAAAUGAUAUAUAAAAAUGAUUUACUGCUUUAAAUCUAUUUUUAUUUUUUAUUUUUUUUUCAUUUCUUUUUUACUUUUUCUUUAUAUAUAUAUAUAUAUAUAUAUAGAUAUAGAUAUAGAUAUAUAUAUUAUAUAUUUUUUUGAGAACCAGCCAGCUUUGGUUUCAAAGACCCUACAUUUACCCACCAUCCUUGUCAAAUAAUUAUGAGGAGCUCAUGCUUACAUGUGGAGAUUGAAAAAAAAUAAUGAUUGAAUUCCACCAAAUGAAUUAAUUUUGUUUGGCAAUUUCAUUUGAAAAUCAACAAAGAAUGAUGUGAUGUGUGAAUCUUUUUCCAUAUAUCAGCGCACAUAUUCAAAUUCAUCCCUUUCCAUUAAUCUGAUAGCGAUUAUGAGGUUGCGUAGAUGCUACGACGACGACCAAAUGUGAUGAAGAUUUCAGGAAGUGUUGGAGUGCGCAUGCUUGAGGACCAAAACUGUGAACUUGAAAUGACUAUUGAAUGCUACCAUAUGAAAUUCGGCCUGAAUCUUUUUCCAAUUCAAAUGCAGGCAGUUCCAUUAAUUUGAUAGAUAUUAUGAGGUUGCCUAUCAUGCUAAGAUAACCAAAUCCGAUGAGAAGUUCAAGAAGUGUUUUGAGUGUGUUUUAGUACUGACACCAUGAAUUCAAAAACAAAUAUAACAUAGAAACACAAAUCAAAACCCAUCACAUGAUGAUAUAGUCGAUAGGAAAUUUGCUUUCUUAAACCAUGCCACGUCCCAUGAAAAAGAAAAUUAAGAAAAUUACAAAUUUUACUUCGAUGGGCUCACAUGCUAUGUGAACCGUCCACUUAAUCGAGGUUAAGAUUAUCUUCAUUUACUUAGAAGAUAAUAAUGAAUUUUUCAAGUAAAAUUUUUUGAGAACCAGACAGCUUUGGUUUCAAAGACCCUACAUUUACCCAUCAUCCUUGUUAAAUAAUUAUGAGGAAGUCAUACUUACACGUGGAGAUUGAAAAAAAUAAUGAAUGAAUUCCACCAAACGAAUUAAUUUUGUUUGGCAAUUUCAUUUGAAAAUCAACAAAGAAUGAUGUGAGGUGUGAAUCUUUUUCCAUAUAUCAGCGCACAUAUUCAAAUUCAGCCCUUUCCAUUAAUUUGAUAGCGAUUAUGAGGUUGCGUAGAUGCUACGACGACGACCAAAUGUGAUGAAGAUUUCAGGAAGUGUUGGAGUGCGCAUGUUUGAGGACGAAAACUGUGAACUUGAAAUGACUUAGAAGAUUAAUUUAAGUUUUCAAAUACAUAAAAUAUAAUUAAUAACAUAACUUAAUACAAUAAGUUAAGGCUUCCUAAAGUCUUAAAAUAAAUAACUUUUUCCCAACCUGAAAUAUCCUUUGCCUUGGUAAUAUUCAUGUUCUUCAAGAUCAAAAUUAGUUUGUUUGAUAUAUAAUUCAAAUUAAAAGAUGGAGGGUGUGUCGGUCCUUUCUAAAUUCAAAAUUGCAUCAUCAAUCAAUCGGAUAAGGUUGUGUCCGACGGAUGAAAAUGUAAUAUUAGUUUGGACAAUGUGCCAUGGAAAGAAGAUAGAUAGAUUAAGUUCUACAUAUUCAUAUCAGUUGUCUCAGCUUUCACGGCAGACAUUUUCGACGCAAGAGACUGUCUCUUGCGGUGAGUAUUAACCACACUUCUAAACUUGGAUGUUCGAGAAGACAACUGGGAUUGAUCAGUUUUGUCUCUUUUAUUUUCAGCUUCCUAGAAUCUCUUUUUUUUUUUUUUCUCAAGGUUAAUGUCAUUUUCUAUGUUGUGGUAGAGUAGAGAAGAGCUCAGAAGGCAUGGCACAGACUGGCUGCAGCAAUGGAGAUAAUAGAUGGUCUCUCAAGGGAAUGACGGCCCUUGUAACGGGUGGAACUAGAGGAAUCGGGUCCGUGUUACCUGUUUUUCUGUUCUGGAAUGAACUUAAUUUGAUCUGUCUCUGCCAAUUAUCACCUUGUUUUUAUAUCAAUUCUGUAGGCAUGCUGUUGUGGAAGAACUGACUGGAUUAGGUGCAAGAAUACAUACAUGUUCUCGAACAGAAACUGAGCUUAAUGAAUAUUUAAGGGAUUGGGAGGGUAAAGGUUUUGAAGUCACUGGCUCAGUCUGUGAUGUAUCCUCUAGGGCCCAAAGAGAGAAGCUAAUGGAGACAGUAUCUUCUAAGUUUAAUGGGAAGCUGAAUAUCCUUGUUAGUUAACCUCUAGUUUGUUAAAUGUGGCCCAUCCAUUUUAGAAUCAUUUUCAUUAAAUAUAAUUGAUGAGUUACCCUAACCGAAUCUUUGAAUUUAGAUCAACAACGCUGGAACUGGCAAACCGGGACGGACGGUGGAGUUCACAGCUGAAGAGUUCUCAAGUAUCAUGGCUGUAAAUUUUGAAUUUGUCUACCAUCUAUGCCAACUUGCUCAUCCCCUUUUGAAGGCAUCAGGAGCGGGAAGUAUUGUGCUCAUGUCUUCUGUUGCAGGUGUAGUAUCACUCAAGUAUUUAUCUGCCUAUGGUGCAACCAAAGGUACUUCAUUCUACCAUAGGGUUUAUGUUGCAGGUCCUGAGUUGUUGGACAAGAUGAUAGAUAUUUACCUUGAUAAUUUUGCUUCAGGGGCACUGAAUCAGCUUGCGAAGAGCUUGGCAUGCGAGUGGGCGCAAGACAAUAUCAGGGCUAACUCUAUUGCUCCUUGGUUCAUCAAAACUUCUCUGGUAGAACCUGUGAGUACCCUUCACCUCAUUUGAAGUUGCUGUUGUUUUCAUUGGGAAAACUGAUUAAUAAACUAAUCUUCUGUUUUGUUUUCUUUUAUUUUUUUGGUUGUAUCAUUUUGGUUUCAGUUUCUUAGUAAGAAAAGCUUUACGGAAGAGGUAAUAAGAAGAACUCCGCUUGGUCGAGUGGGGGAUCCAAAGGAGGUGUCAUCCUUGGUAGCAUUCCUCUGCCUACCAGCAUCAUCUUACAUUACUGGCCAGACCAUUUGUGUUGAUGGUGGGAUGAGUAUUAAUUGUUUCGAUCCAAGUCAAUGCUAGAAACACCUAGCAUUUAUAUUAAUAUAUGUUGUUUUCUCAAAACCGCUUCUGUUUUUGGGAUUAUUUGCUCGUGAUAGUGACCUUGUGGUCCUAGGAUUAAUGCAUGGUUACCAAAUAUUAAGUCUAUGCUUCCAAUAAAUAUUAAAAAAUUUCUUAUUAUUCAAUCACGGAUUUCUACCUUCUUCUCCGGUCAUAGAUACUGUUUAGGUCUCCGGUGCAUUCCCCGCUCACCCACCUACAUCUGAUUGGUUGCAACGUUCAAUCACGGAUUUCUUAUUAUUCAUAUAUCUUUUAGUACAUUUUUUCAAAUUCUUGAUAUUUAUUCGUAUUAUUUGUAUAAUUUAUAUAAGAAAAAAUGAUUUAAAAUAAAAAUAUAUGGUUUAAAAUUGAUAAAAUAUCAUGAAUAACGUUUUACAAUCCAUAAGAUACAAAAAUAAAACAAACUGAUAGAAAAAUAUCGACAUUGGUUAAAAAUAAUUAAGUUAAUCGCGAGUAUAACUAAAUCAUCUCAACUUGAUGAAUGAUAAAUUCAUUUAUAAAAAAAUUUAAAAUAAAAAACCUAUUAAUUAUUGAAAAUUCAAAUAUGAUUUGAUAUAAAUGUUUUGUUAUGAAAUUUACAUUUGUAUGAAAAAAUAGUAAACUUUUCUUAAGGUUCGUAGUCCCCUGGAAACAUUUUUUAGUAUUUUUUUCGAGAGGUACAAAUUUCUUGCUUACUUUAAUAUAUUUAAGACACAAAAUUUGACAUAUAUAUUUGAUCCAUCAAUCAAAACUCCCAUCCCACACACAUUUUGUAAAGUUAGAGCCAUUAGUUUUUAUAUUCAAUUUUUACCUCUUUUUUUGCAUAUUUUAAUAAGAAUAAAUUAGAUGUUGUAAUUUCUUAUUUUAAAUAAGAGUAUGAUACCACAUUAAACGAUAAAAUAAAAAUUGUAUAUAUGUGAAAUAUAUGUCAUUAUUCAUCUUGAUAUGUAUUAUACUGUUUACCUCUUCAACAAGUUUUGUAAAAUUUUUUGUUUUGUAGUAAGUAAAGUGUGGAGAGUUACCCUCAAAGACAUGGGAUUUAAAAGAAAUAAGAAAAAGAGAAAAAUGUCAAAUAUUUCUUAUUAUAAUCACUUGAAAAAUAAGUCCAAUACACGUGGAGUUGAAAUAGGUUUACAAUCAAAGGAAGUAAAAGAAAAAAAGAUAAACUAAUCUUUCCUUGCUCCAAAAAAGAAAGAUAAUAAUGUUGAUGUGGUAAAUAAAUUAAUAAUUUUAACAUCUCCCCACAAACUCAUAAAACUCAUAAUGCGGUUGUAAGAAGUAGUGAGAGCUUAAAUAAAUUAACUUACAAUAAAAUGAAGUAAAAGAAAAAAAUUAAUUUACCCUUACUCGAUAAAUCUUUAGUAUAUUAUUAUUAUUAUUAUUAUUAUUAUUAUUAUUAUAUCUCAAAGUCAAGAUUAUGAACAUGAAAAUUAAACAUAUCGCGCUUCAAUCUUGACAAGACUAAUAUAAAGUGAGGUUUUCCCCUUCUUAUUAUUAAUAUUAUUAUUAUCACUACUACGAUAUCUUUGUUUACACUAAAAUCUUUUCUUUAAUGCCCUCAAAGUCAAGAUUACGAACAUAAAAAGCAUGUCACACUUCAAUGUUCACAAGACUAAUACAAAAUGAGGUUUCCUCCUAAAUUUAUUAUUACCAUUACAUAUCUUUGUUUACACUAAAAUCCUAUCUUUAAUACCCUAAAAGUCAACAUUAGGAACAUGAGAAACAUUUCACUAUUUAAUGUUGACAUGACUAAUACAAAGUGAGGUUUCCCUAAAUUUAUUAUUAUUAUUACAUAUCUUUGUUUUCACUAAAAUCUUAUCUUUAAUACCCUAAAAGUCAAUAUUAGGAACAUGAGAAACAUUUCACAAUUUAAUGUUGACAAGACUAAUACAAAGUGAGGUUUUCCCCUAAAUUUAUUAUUAUUAUUACAUAUCUUUGUUUCCAUUAAAAUCUUAUAUUUAAUACCCUAAAAGUCAAUAUUAGGAACAUGAAAAGUAUAUCACACUUCAAUGUUGACAAGACAUUAUACAAAGUGAAGUAUUAUUUCCAUAAUAUCUUUGCUUACACUAAAAUCUCAUCUUUAAUAUCCUUGAAGUUAAGAUUAUGAGCAUGAAAAAUAUGGCAUACUUCAAUGUUGACAAGAUUAAUACAAAGUGAGGUUUCUUCGUCAAUUUAUUAUUAUUACUACAAUAUCUUCCUACACUAAAAUCUCAUCUUUAAUAGCUCAAAGUUAAUAUUACAAGCAUGAAAGUUCAACAUGCCAUCCUCCAAUCUUAACAAGGCUAAUACAAAUUGUGAUUUCCCUAAUUUUUUUUCCAUUGUCUUUCUUUUUCUUGUACCUGUUGUGAUCGAUUUAGGUCACAAGCCAAAUAAUUGCAAGAAAAUGAACUCACACGUGAAAAUUGAGAAGGAUGAAAUAUUCUCUAACAUUGCACACUCUUAGAAGAAAAAUCAUUUGGUUGACAAUUUUAUUUGAGACUAACAAAUUGACGGAAGGACAUGAUGUGAGGCCAGCUUGUAUAUGCUUUUAUUCAAAUCUAGCCACAUGAUGAAUCCUACAAACUCCUUUCCCAUUUUUUUAUUGCAAUGUUUUAAAUGAUGCCACGUACCUAAAUUCUUGAAAUUUUGAGUCAGUUAAAGACAUGUCUGGAUGGCAUGGAGGAGAGUUAGGGGGCUAUUCGGCUUGUACCCCUUCAAAUUCAGCCUGCUCCAUUAAUUUGAUAGCUAUCGUGAGGUUGCCUAUGAUGCUAAGAUAACCAAAUGUGAUGAGGAUUUCAAAAAGUAUUCGAGUGUACUUCAGUACCAAAUCUGUGAAAUGAUUAUUGAAUGCUACCUAAUUUUGUUUGAAAUUUUCAUUUGAAAUUAAAUAAAUAAAUAUGUGAGGCCUAAAUCUUUUUCCAUCAUAUUGUACUCAUGUUCAAAGUCUGCCACUUCCAUUCAUUUGACAGCUAUAAUGAGGUUGUCUAUGAUGCUAAAAAUGACCAAACGUGAUGAUGAUUUCAAGAAGUAUUCCAGUAUAUUUUAAUUGGCAAUGUUUUAAAGAUAGGUAUCAUUCAUCCUAAAAAUUCAUCCAUUCAUGUUCAUUGCAUGGUCGAAAUGUUAUUAAACAACUAACAUUAUAAAUAUAUAAUUUAUAUUUUAUUAAAAUUAAAAAUAAUUUUUAAAAACUAAUAUGUAUAUAUAUAUAAUUAAAAACCAAUUAUAUUUAUUUUUUAAUCUUUUAUAUAAAUGUACUAAUAAUUAAAAUUUUAUUAAAUAAAAUAUGUAAAAUUUGAAAAUUGAAUAAAAUUUGCAUUAUAUAUAUAUAAAAGUUUAAAAGAUACUAGAUUAUUUUAUUCAUAUUGAAUUUCUGAAAUAAUAUACAUAUUUUUUUCUUUAGUUUCACAAACAUUAACAUUUGGAUAAGUAGCUGAGUAGUUGUUCCUGAAAAUGCUCAAGCACAUAUUAGCAAGAAUGAAGAAUUUGUUUCUAUUCUUUCAUAUUUUACAGUAGACCAAUGGCUAUAUAUAUAUAUUACAAUGUAACUAAUCUAACCAUCUAUUGAACUACCUAACCAUCUUCUAACUAAUCAUAACAACAUCUGUUAGAGAGGAGAAGAAUCAGCUGCUGGUGCGGGUGCUUGUCUAUCAUCCCCCCGCAAGCUGACAGGUCUUGGGACAAUAGAGAAAUGAGUACGAGCGGCUGAGAACUAACAGCUUGGAACAUAUUUAGUAAAGACAUCUGCCAACUGGUCGGUAGAAGGAACAUAUUGAAUUAAAAGCUCUUUGCGAAUGACCUUAUCACGGACAAAGUGAAGAUCAAUCUCUAUGUGCUUGGAACGGGCAUGGAAGACAGAGUUAGCUGCAAGAGGAGCAGCACUGAUAUUGUCACACCAGAUCAAAGGAGUGUUCGGUUGAGGAAUGCACAACUCUUUGAUCAGAAACUGAACCCAGGAGACCUCAACAGCGAGAAAAGCAAGUGCCCGGUACUCCGAUUUUGCACUACUACGAGAGACGACACGUUGCUUGGUAGAGGACCAUGAGAUGAGAUUGGUGCAAAAAAAAAAGACAAAAGCCACUAGUGCUUCUUCUAUCAUCGAGACAUGAAGCCCAAUCCGCAUCGGUAUAGCCUUGAAGAGACCAAGAUGGUGAGGCAUGGAUAGAAAGACCAUGAGUAGCAGUACCUUUGAGAUAGCGAAGUAUGUGUUUAGCAGCUUGCAGAUGAGAAGUGAUAGGAUGAGCCAUGUAUUUACAAGCUUGAUUUACUGCAAAUGAGAUUUUUGGUCUUGUGAGAGUGAUGUACUGAAGAGCACCCACAAGACUGUGAUAGUGAGUAGCAUCAAGAGCAGAUAAAGGUUCUCCAUCUGCUGCUGAUAACAAUUUUCCCAAAGCACCAAGUGUGCUAGCAGAUUUGGCCCCAAGAAGAUCAGCACGCUCAAGUAGCUGAUGUAUGUAGCGUUGUUGAUUGAGAUGAAGAACAUGAGGAAGCCGGGUGACUUCAAUGCCAAGGAAGUAGCUAAUAUCUCCAAGGUCUUGAAGAGCAAAAUGGGAGCUAAGCUGAGAAAUGAUAUGAUGGACCUGUGGUGGAUUGUUGCCAGUAAUGAGAAUAUCAUCCACAUAGAUUGAGAUGAUGAUAAUAUCAGAUGCAGAGUGGAAAUAAAAUAAAGAUGCAUCAGCCCUUGAGCAUUGGAAUCCCAAUUGUAAGAGAAAGGAGCUGAGCUUGUGGAACCAGGCUCGAGGCGCUUGUUUAAGGCCAUAGAGAGCCUUCUGUAGACGACAAACAUGAGUGGGGCAAGAGCUAUCUUCAAAGCCUAGAGGUUGCAUCAUGAACACCUGUUCUUAAAGAUCUCCAUUUAAAAAAGCAUUGUGGACAUCUAGUUGUUUAAUAGGCCAGUUGGAAGAGACAACAAUGGAGAGAACAAGCCUGAUAGUGCAAGGCUUCACAACUGGACUAAAUGUCUCAAAAAAAUCAAUGCCAUAGGUUUGAUGAAAACCUUGGGCAACCAGCUGAGCUUUGUACCUGUCAAUGCUGCCAUCAGGUUUAUGUUUGAGUUUGAAGACCCAUUUACACCCAAUAAUUUUGGCAUUAGAUGGAGGUGGCACCAAAGACCAAGUUUGAUUCUUCAAUAGAGCUUGAUAUUCUUGUUCCAUAGCAAGCUUCCAAUUAGGGUCUUGAAAAACCUGUUUGACAGUACGUGGCUCAGCUAUGAGUGAGGUAAGAUAGGUCUUCUUCUUAUAGAUACCAAAUUUGGAUCUGGUAAUCAUAGGAUGACUAGGAAUUGGAGCUAUGGAAUCCUGGAGGGAAGCAGUAGAAAUCUCAGCUGCUUCAUCCACAAAUGGCACCUGAAUGAGCGGGGGUAAAGACAAAAAGCUGGCUAGAGGUGAUGUGGGGGCAAGUUCGGAUGGGAUAGCCGGAGAAGAGCUGGUUGUGGAGGGGAAAAGAACAGAAGAUGGAGGAAAAAGAAAUGCUGGAGUGACAGGAAAAUGAGAUGAUUGGUGGGAAGGAGAAGUCAAUGCUUGAAAUGGAAAUGUAGUCUCUACAAAGACUACAUGCCUAGAGAUAUAUACUCUGCCAGUUGUAAGAUUAAGGCAAAAAUAACCCUUGUGAAAUGUUGCAUAACCAAGAAAGAUACAGGGUAUGGACUAUGGCUGAAAUUUGUUGGAGUUGAGAUGUCUGAGGUGUGGAUAACAAAGACAACCAAAGACUUUGAAAUGGAAAUAAUCAGGUGGGUGUUUGUAAAGAAGAGAAAAUGGGGAGCUGUAAUUGAGCAAAGGAGAAGGCAUGCAAUUGAUAAGGGUAAUUGUUGUAGUGAAAGCAUAGGACCAAAAUUUGGAUGGCAGGGCAGUUGUGUAAAGAAGAGUGAGCCCGAUUUCUACAACAUGGCGCAUUUUGCGUUCAACCCGACCAUUUUGUUCAGGUGUAUAAGGGCAAGAAAAUCUAUGGAGUAUACCAUGAAGAGAUAGAAACCGGAGGGUAGUGAACUUUCCACCAUGGUCUGUUUGAAGGCAUUUAAUGGUGGUCUGAAAUUGGUUUUCAACAAGAGUUUUAAAUUGAACAAAAGUGGAGUAAACCUGGUCCUUGGUGAGGAGUAAAUAUAUCCAUACAAACCUAGAGUAAUCAUCCAUGAGCAACAAAAAAUACCAGGCACCUGCGGAGGAAGGAACAGGUGUUGGUCCCCACAAGUUUGCAUGGAUGAGUUCAAGAGGAGAGGAGGCCCGGGAAGUGGACAAAGAAAAAGGAAUUUUGUGACUUUUGGCAUAACAACAAGCAUUGCAAACAUCAAUUGUUUUAUUUGAGUUAUAUGAAAUAUUACAUGUAUGAAAAAUUUUCUGAAGUAUUAUAGCAGAAGGGUGGCCAACUCGUUGAUGCCACAACAUAGUAGUGGGCUGAGUUUUUGUGAGAAACACUUGAUGUUUAGAAUUGGCAGUAGGUGAGUUGAUAGAUGAGGUAGGAAAUUUGUAGAGUCCACGUUCAAGUUGGCCUUGGAGAAGAGUCACUUUGGUAUCCUUGUCCUUGACAAAAAAUGAAAAAGGAUGAAAUUCAAGAAUGGUAUUAUUAUCAGUACAGAAUUUUGACACACUGAUGAGAUUUGAAGUGAGUUGUGGAACAUGAAGCACAUUGUGUAAAACAAAGGGUUUAGCAGAAAUGUGGAGAAAGGAAUGACCAACUUGGGUUAUGGGUAGGGACUUACCAUUGCCAACCAUCACAGAGUCAGUACCAUUGUAUGAAGUACCAUUGUGGAUAUUAGCAACUGUGUGGGAGAGAUGGUGGGUGGCGCUUGAAUCCAAAAACCAGGAGUCCGUUGAUGCUGGGGAAGGUGCUGCCAUCAUGGCUUGAGCAGGAGGAGUGGGACCAGUUUGAGAGGUUGAUGAGGCUGGUGCAUGUGGCCCUUGAUAAUUCACAUCAAAUCUGUGAUAACAAGAGAGGACCAUGUGCCCAAACUUGCCACAUAACUGACACUGUGGUUGGUUAUUUGUCCGGGAUCGAUUAUUGUUGAAUCGGUUAGGGCGAUAUCCUUGAGGAUGUUGCUGUCGUGAAUUUGGAAGAGUGUCAGGUCGUGGGGUUGGCAUGAAUGACUGAGGUGGUUUCCCUUGAGAGGGUUUGAUGGACUGUGACCUUCGUGGUCUGUUAUGAGUUGCAAUAUUGGCAAUGAGGAGGUCUUCUUCAGCAGUUGUGGUUUGAAGAUGCAGCCUCUAUUCAUGAGUCAGAAGGAUGCUAUGUACCGCAUGAAGUUGAAGGUCAUCAUCUCUAGCUGUGAGAGAAGCCAUGAUGGGGUUGUAUUCAACCCCUAGUCCACUUAGUAAUUGAAGAAUUUGAUCCUUUUCUGGCACUGGUUCUCCAAUAGCUGCUAGACUAUCAGAGAUGUGUUUGAGUUUUUGGAUGUAUUCCAUCAUGGUAAGAGGGCCUUUUUUGGUUGUUUGAAAAGCAAGUCUCAGCUGCAUUGUUCUUGCUUUGGUGGAAGCAGAGAAGCUUCAUUGGAGGGUUGUCCAUGCUUCAUGGGAUGUUCGUAGCCCAACAAUUUGGCCCAUAACAUCUGGAGUGAGAGAGGAGUAGAUCCAACUCAGGAUCAUACGAUCAUAUCUCCUCCAAACCAGAAAAUCUGGGUUCACUUCUCCGGUGGAUAUUAUUUUUGGAGGACAUGGUCUCAGACCUUCAAUAUAGUCCUCAAAUCCAUUGGCAUAUAUCACAUUUUCCAUUUGUGUAUGCCAAAGGAUAUAGUUAUCUCUAUCUAGUUUGAUAGGAAGAGGAUGGUUCAGCAUGCUCAUGUUCAGGGUAGAGGUUACCUGAGAAGAGACAAUCUCCGGCGUGGUUUGUGUUGAUGAAGCCAUCGGAAACUAGGUACAGUAUGUUCUUGAAGCUUUCUUGAGGUGAGUAAGAAAAGCAAAAGGUAAUCUGCAGAUGAUGUAUAUCAGAAGAAAGUUGCAGUAGAAAGAGUUGUUGGAGAUUUCUUUAUUGUCUUGCUGGGGAGAGAAAUCAAAAAACGAAAAUUCAUGAGCCUAUGGCUCUGAUACCAUGAAAAUGCUCAAGCACAGAUUAGCAAGAAUGAAGAAUCUGUUUCUAUUCUUUCUUAUUUUACAGUAGACCAAUGGCUAUAUAUAAAUAUUACAGUGUAACUAAUCUAACCAUCUAAUCAUCUAUUGAACCACCUAACCAUCUUCUAACUAAUCAUAACAGCAUCUGUUAGAGAGGAGAAGAAUCAGUUGCUGGUGCGGGUGCUUGUCUAUCAGUUCCAAGUUACCUUAAACCUUGAAAGGAUCAAGUCCUUUUGAUUUUGUUUAAAUAAGCUACUAAGCUACUGCUCACUCCACAUUGGAAAUUCAAGGGGAUGAAAAAAGGUUUAUAAAUCUCAUUCAUCUCCAACAGGUCACAUGGCCUUUAGGCCGUGGGAGGCAAUGCGGUGAGUGGGUCGUGUGCUCUAAAUGGAGGCCUAUUUUUGCAACAAAAGAAAGACCGAAACCAAACCAAGCAUGAACCAAAUCGGAUCAAGAUCCAGUCGACGGUCUGACUAGUUCAGUAGGAAUUUUUCAUAAUAUGGUUUAAUGGCAUGUAGAUAUUCUUUAGUCAAAGUUUUAAUAAGCCCAUCAAAAGUUGUAAUAUUUUAUGUUAUAAGUUAAUAGAGAAUAUUUUUUACUUUAAAUUUUUGUUGGUAUUUUCCCAUAAUCUAUAGUUAUUAAGGCAUUGAUAUUUUCUCAAAUUAUAGAAUUAAGUUCUAAAACAACAUUUAUUUUGACAUAGAUGAACAUUUGAAAGAUUAUAAUUUAUCUUUAACUUAUUUUUCUUUAUAACCAAAAUCUUUUCUCUCGAUUUUUCAUAAUAUUUGAUUAUGAUUAAUUAUUCAUGCAUACAAUCUAGGUCUGAAUCUAUUAUCUUCAACACUUAUUUUUAUUUUUUUAUGUCAUGUUUGAAAAUUUACUUUAGAUAGUAAGUCAAUAAAUGUUUCUAAAGGUAAAUGAGUGUUUGGUAUUAUGAUUCUUAGAUCUUGACUAGUAAGGGAUUCUUUAUAAUUUGUUCAUUUUAUUACUUGAGCUAAUUUAAUUCUCUAUUUAUUAAUUUCUUAUAUUUCAUCAUGUAAAUUUUGAAUAGUUAUAAGUUUGUGAAUAGUUUUGAAUCUAUUAAAUAUUUCAUCUAUAAUAUUGAUUAGAUUUGGGUUCUUGAAGUCUACUUAUCUCUUUAAUUUGUAAGAAUUAAAUCUUUUAAAUAUAACAAAUAUUGAAUUUUUAUGUUGAAUCCUCUAUUUUAUGACAUCAAAAAAUAUUUAUUUAUUUACUUUUGAAUAAAUCAUAUUUAUUAUUUUAUAUGAACAAACAUACUCACUUUCACAUUCAUUUUCAUCAUUAGAGUCUUCUAGACUAAUUAUAUUGGUUUAAUGUGUCUAGUAUUUGUGAUAAAUUUCAUAAAAAUAUUCAAGUGUAAAUAUUAAACUACAUAGUAUACUGUCACAUAUGACACAUUUCAAAUAGUAAAGACUAAAACCAUAAUUAAAGAUAACUUAGGUUUUAUUUUUUUUGUCAAAAAUAUUAUAAUUUUAAUUAAUUGAAUUAUUAAUUUUUCAAAAAUUUAGAAAAAAUAAAAAAUAGUAUUUUAAAAUUUGGCUCUCUUGAAAAUCAUGAGAGGAUAAAAAUUGGUAAAAAAAUAAAUAAAUUUAGAAAAGGUUAUUGAGAUUAAUUAAGUACAUCCUUGCCAUGAUAUUUAAUAUUUUUUUUAUGUUUUAUAAAUAGGGUAAAUGGACAUCGUUCUAAAUACAGGAAGAUGAUAUUAUUAUAUAUAAAAAAAAUGUAAAAAUAGUGAGUAAUAUUAUUAAAAAUAUCUCAUGGAAUGGGGCAAGAUAAAGGGCCAAAAAAAAAAAAAUUAGAGAAGAAAGAAGAAAAAGAAGAGUGUUGUAAGCACAGGAAGUCAAAAGUACUGUAUAAGCGUGAUUCAUCCCUGUUUCCUACUUCGAUUAUAAAGUAUGGACAGAGAUACAGAAAAAAAAAAAGAGAAGAAGCAGCAUUCAGCUUUCACCAGUGCAGAGUGGUAUGGUGGUGUAGCAUAUGUUUGGUUGUUAUUCUUGCUCCAAACAAGUGUGAGCUGAUCCAUUUCUAUACUCAUUUUUGUUAUCUCAGUCGACUGAUUCGUUUAGUGGGCCUGGUGUUAGCCAAAAGCUAGCCACCAAUUUUCUUUGCUUUAUCCCAUUACAUUAGAAUAAAAAGAAAAUGGAGGUUUGAGAGGGCCAUUGGGACCAUUGGGACCAUUAUCAGUUGUCUUUUGUUUUCAAGUUGUAAGAAGUCCUGUCAAGGUUUAUGUCAUUUGCUAUGUUGUUUCUGUUCCAUUUUCAGUUCAAAGAGUGGUAGAGUAGAGAAGGAGGCAUGGCUCAGACAUUUGGGUGCAGCUCUGGAGAUAGUAGAUGGUCUCUCAAGGGAAUGACUGCUCUUGUAACUGGUGGAACUAAAGGAAUUGGGUUGGUGUUACCUGUUUUUAUGUCUUUGGGUUUGGACUAUACCUUCCUAUAUAUAAACGUAUGUAUCAAUUCUGCAGGCAUGCAAUUGUGGAGGAACUGGCUGGAUUAGGAGCAACCAUACACACGUGUUCUCGAAAAGAAACUGAGCUCAAUGAAUGCUUGAAGGAUUGGAAAGCUAAAGGUUUUGGAGUGAGUGGUUCAGUGUGUGAUGUAUCCUCUCGGGCACAAAGGGAGAAGCUAAUGGAGACUGUCUCUUCUGUGUUCAAAGGGAAGCUGAAUAUCCUUGUAAGUUCCUCUAGUCUCUAAGGUUCCUAUCCAUGAUAUUCCACAUACUUUGUCGAACUUCCUACAAUUUGAGUUCCCCUACUUGAUAUAUAUAUUUUGGUUCCGGAUUCAGGUCAACAACGCUGCUAUUGUUAUUCAGAAACCAACAGUAGAGGUCACGGCAGAAGAGUUCUCAACAAUCAUGGCCAUAAAUUUUGAAUCUGUGUAUCAUCUGUCCCAACUCGCACACCCCCUUUUAAAGGCAUCAGGAGCGGGAAGCAUUGUAUUCAUCUCCUCUGUUGCCGGCGUAGUGUCAGUCAAGUAUCUGUCUGCUUAUGCAGUAACCAAAGGUAUUUCAUUACAUGAUCCACAGUAUAUAUAUAUAUCGCAAGUUCUUGGGUUGUGGCCCUUGUGGCCUUCUCGGCGUGUCAUUAUCAUUAUCAUUUUGUGAUUUUUCAGGAGCAAUGAAUCAACUUACAAAGAAUUUGGCAUGCGAGUGGGCGGAAGACAAUAUUAGAAGUAAUGCAGUUGCUCCUUGGUGCAUCAAAACUCCGAUGGUGGAUCAGGUAAUUCAGUUGCUCUUCUUUUUUGUCUGGGAAAAUUCAAUAAUCAAUUCCUCUCUCUUUUCUGUCUUUUGCAUAAUCUGGGUUGCAGAUGCUCAGUAACAAAACCUUUCUGGAAGGGGUGAUAAAUCGAGCUCCACUUCGCCGUGUGGGAGAUCCGAAGGAGGUGUCAUCUUUGGUGGCAUUCCUCUGUCUACCAGCAUCAUCUUACAUUACUGGACAGACUAUUUGUGUUGAUGGUGGCGUGACUGUUAAUGGUUUUGAGCCAAACCUGUUCUAGGAACAUCAUUAAGACUCUAAAAAAUCUUAGCUUCUUCUACCGCUUUCCUGUUUGGAUCCUGUCUUUUUCCUGAAUAAUAUGUUUGUGGUGGUAAGUACUCUUCUGUUUUUUCGGUGUGGGGUUCAUUUGAAAACAUUGUUGCAUGAUGCUUAUAAUAAUCGUUGGAAAGUUGGAAGAAGUUACUUAUCAUUGGAUGAGAUUCUUGUGAUGGGUGUUUCCUAUAAUCAGAUUUAUCUUGUUAUAAGGUUGUUGUUGUUGUAGUAAUAGGAUUGAAAGAGAAAUGCAAAUAAUCGUAAAAGGAUGAUGAAAAUUCAUCAUUUUUACUUAUUCAAAUAUUACACCAUCUCUAAUUUACAAUGAAUUUCAAUGAGUGCAAGUGAAACCAACCUUAAAAUAAUUUUGUUUGAUAAAUUUAGAUGAAAUUCAACCAGUGUGAAUCUUUAAAUUUUUUUUUUCAUUUCCAUUAAAGAUUAUUGUAAAUGAAAAAAAAUUAAAGUCAAAAAUACAUGUAGCAAUGAGACGAAGGAAAGCGGGUUCUAUCAUCUAUCACACAUCAUGGAAAAAGCUGUGGUACCAUGGCUUUUCCAGGACUUUUCCUUGCAUAAUGUUACCGUAUGCUAAUGUUUUGUCACUCAAAGAUAUUUUAAUAUAAAGUAGCGCGGAUAUACUAUAAACAUUCAGUUACGCCAUGUAACACGUUAGCCAAUAAGGUUACAAAUUUUAAUUUUAUAUUAAUAAUAUGAUUGGGUAUGCUCUAUAUUUUAAAAUAUAAUUGAAUCACAUAUAUCUAGAACUAGAAAUCCUUUUGAGGGACCAAUAACAUAAACCAUUAAAAUUUUAUAAUUUGAUAUUAUAAAUUCCUAUUAAAUUUUAAAAUAUAUUAAAUUUAUUUGAUAUAAAUAUAUAUAAAAAUAAAGAAAAAAUUUAUAUUUUCAUAUGAUAAAUUAUACAAAAGAAAAGCAAAUAUUUUUUUUUUAUCAAAAUUGUUUUCAACAAUAUUUCAAAUAUAUAUAUAAAUUUGGGAAACUUGUAUUUUGGAGCUGCUAUUUAGAAAUUAUAUGGUUUUCGGAACCCAAAAAUGGGAAAUAUGAGAAUCAAUUUUUAAUAUGAAAGGUAUUAUCGUUUUUGUGCACUCUGAGUCGGCUCCAUCUUUUGUGCCCAAAUUGUCCCUCCAUGUUUCCAACACAUUAUCUUAGCAUCAUUCCAACCUCCAUGUCAGUACGACCAUUGAAAUUUAGAAAAAAAAACACUAAAAUCUAAAUUUGUAACUUCUCAAAAA
rnacentral:lncRNA from 1 species